GCAAAGGCCGGUUACGCCCUCUCCCAAUCUCCCCCGACCCCAAACCCAUCUGCUCCGCCGCCGCUCUCCCCGCUCCUCUCCUCCCUCCAGAUCGCCCCGUCCUUCUCCCGCCUCCUCCUCCGCCUCUCCCUCCUCGGCGACAUGAGCGGCCCCGCCCCGACCCCGCCGCCGCCCCCUCCUCCGGCGGCGGCGCCCGCUCGCCCCGUGCGCUACGACUUCCUCAACUCCAAGCCGCCCCCCAACUACGUCGCGGGUCUCGGCCGUGGCGCCACCGGCUUCACCACCCGUUCCGAUAUCGGGCCGGCUCGCGCUGCCCCGGACCUCCCAGAUCGCUCCGCCGCCGCGGCUGCUCCUCCCGCUGUCGGCCGCGGCCGCGGGAAGCCCCCCGGCGAGGACGAAGGCGGUGAUGAAGGCGGCGACGAGGAGAAGGGAUACGACGAGAACCAGAAGUUCGACGAGUUCGAGGGCAACGACGCCGGCCUCUUCUCCAACGCCGACUACGACGAUGAUGACCGCGAGGCUGAUGCCGUCUGGGAGAGCAUCGACCAGAGGAUGGACCUGCGCCGCAAGGAUCGGCGUGAGGCGCGUCUCAAGCAGGAGAUUGAGAAGUACCGUGCGUCCAACCCUAAGAUCACCGAGCAGUUUGCUGAUCUCAAGAGGAAGCUGGCAGAUGUGUCUGUGCAGGAGUGGGAAAGCAUACCUGAAAUUGGGGACUACUCGGCACGCAACAAGAAGAAGCGGUUCGAGAGCUUUGUCCCGGUGCCGGAUACUCUGCUUGAGAAGGCCCGGCAGGAGCAGGAGCAUGUCACAGCCCUGGAUCCCAAGAGCCGUGCGGCUGGUGGCACCGAGACACCGUGGGCGCAAACUCCGGUUACCGACCUGACUGCCAUGGGUGAGGGUCGUGGUACCGUGCUUUCGCUGAAGUUGGACAGGUUGUCGGAUUCAGUUUCUGGCCUUACUGUUGUUGAUCCAAAGGGAUACCUUACAGACUUGAAAAGCAUGAAAAUUACUAGCGACGCUGAGAUCUCUGACAUUAAGAAGGCAAGACUGCUGCUCAGGUCUGUGACACAGACAAACCCAAAGCAUCCUCCAGGUUGGAUUGCUGCUGCUAGGCUUGAAGAGGUUGCUGGCAAGCUCCAGUCUGCUCGGCAGCUCAUUCAGAGGGGCUGUGAGGAGUGCCCCAAGAACGAGGAUGUUUGGUUCGAGGCAUGCCGGUUGGCUAGCCCAGAUGAGUCAAAGGCAGUAAUUGCCAGGGGUGUGAAGGCAAUUCCCAACUCUGUGAAGCUGUGGCUGCAGGCUGCAAAACUAGAGACUAGUGAUUUGAACAAGAGCAGGGUCUUAAGGAAGGGGUUGGAGCACAUUCCUGAUUCAGUUAGGUUGUGGAAGGCUGUUGUGGAGCUGGCGAACGAGGAGGAUGCACGGAUGUUGCUUCAUAGGGCUGUGGAGUGCUGCCCACUUCAUGUCGAGCUGUGGCUUGCCCUAGCAAGGCUCGAAACAUAUGACCAGGCAAAGAAGGUGCUUAACAAGGCCAGGGAGAAGCUCAACAAGGAACCUGCCAUUUGGAUUACAGCUGCAAAGCUGGAGGAGGCUAAUGGGAACACCCAAUCCGUAAGCAAGGUGAUUGAGAGAGGUAUAAGAUCUUUGCAGAGAGAAGGGUUGGAUAUUGAUAGGGAGGCGUGGCUAAAGGAAGCCGAAGCUGCAGAGCGUGCUGGAUCUGUGCUUACUUGCCAGGCUAUUGUGAAGAGCACUAUUGGAGUUGGGGUUGAUGAUGAGGACCGGAAGCGAACAUGGGUUGCUGAUGCUGAGGAAUGCAAGAAACGUGGUUCAAUUGAGACAGCUCGGGCCAUCUAUGCACAUGCUCUUAGCGUGUUCGUUGCCAAAAAGAGCAUAUGGCUUAAAGCGGCGCAGCUUGAGAAGAGCCAUGGGACAAGAGAAUCUCUUGAAGCCAUUCUCAGAAAGGCUGUCACGUACAAUCCAAAAGCUGAAGUGUUAUGGCUUAUGGGUGCAAAGGAAAAAUGGCUGGCUGGUGAUGUCCCUGCAGCUCGGGCCAUCCUUCAGGAAGCUUAUGCUGCUAUCCCUAUUUCAGAGGAGAUCUGGUUAGCUGCAUUCAAGUUAGAGUUCGAGAAUAACGAACCAGAGAGAGCAAGAAUGCUUUUGACCAAGGCCAGGGAAAGAGGAGGCACCGAGAGGGUUUGGAUGAAAUCAGCAAUUGUUGAGAGGGAAUUAGGAAAUGUGAAUGAGGAAAGGAGGUUGUUGGAGGAAGGUCUGAAGUUAUUCCCCUCGUUUUUCAAAUUGUGGUUAAUGCUUGGACAGAUGGAAGACCGGAUUGGACAUGUACCAAAGGCAAAGGAGGUUUACGAGAAUGGACUUAAACACUGCCCGGGUUGCAUCCCUCUUUGGCUCUCGCUAGCUAGUCUAGAGGAGAGGAUAAAUGGCUUGAGUAAGUCACGUGCUUUCCUCACCAUGGCAAGGAAAAAGAAUCCAGCUACACCUGAACUAUGGCUUGCAGCAAUUCGAGCUGAAUUGAGGCAUGGGAACAAAAAGGAAGCUGAUUCUCUACUAGCCAAGGCAUUACAAGAGUGCCCAACAAGUGGCAUUUUGUGGGCUGCAGCUAUUGAGAUGGUGCCACGUCCCCAACGCAAGUCAAAGAGCUCAGAUGCUAUAAAGCGAUGUGAUCAUGAUCCACAUGUCAUUGCAGCUGUCGCCAAACUUUUCUGGCAUGACAGGAAGGUUGAUAAAGCAAGGAGUUGGUUGAACAGAGCUGUUACUCUUGCUCCUGACAUUGGGGAUUUUUGGGCAUUGUACUACAAAUUUGAACUCCAGCAUGGAAAUGCGGACACACAAAGGGAUGCUCUGAAACGAUGCAUUGCAGCCGAACCAAAACAUGGCGAGAGAUGGCAAGCUAUAAGCAAGGCCGUUGAGAACUCACAUCAGCCAGUUGAUGCCAUCCUGAGAAAAGUCGUUCUGGCUCUUGGUGCAGAAGAAAACCCCAAUGCUGCAGAACCCUAGUUUUACUGUUUCGAUAAGUGCAAAAGAAGUCCAUAUCAGUCCUAUAGGUACAGAGCAUUUGUCCAGCCAUCACCUUUUGUCCUUUCUGGGAUCGCCAAGCUUUAGCCAGUGCAAACAAAAUAGCAUUAUCGUUAUACAAUCGGACACCAAAAAUUGAAUCAGAUAGAAAUGAGGGCGAGGAUAAAUUCUGAGCGAAAACGCACAACCUUGCAACUUUGAUGGAUUCCUGAAAAAGCAAGAGAACAUUACUCGAUCUAUGUGCAUGGUAACUGCUAUGUAAUGCUUCAACAUAUGAAUGUAUGCAUCACUAAGUCUUCUAAUAUCCAUGGUCAUCCAAAUAUAGGGCUGACGAGUUAUAGUUGACGGGGCGCCAGAUAAAUGCUUGAAGUAGUUUAUUCAUGAUGCCCUAAGCCCCCGACCAAUAUCUGGUGGAGACCCCAAAAUCAAUCAUUUAUGCCAAGCAAGCGGUGUUGAUACUGAUUUCAGUUUGCAAGUCGUUGAGCGAGCUGGUGAUCUCAGAUGUGCACUGCAAGACUUGUGGAACCCCCCUGCUGUCAUGACAUUGGUUCAGCUGGCUUUUGGUGAUAGGAGUGCAUGUACCCAAAGCGACUUGCCUUGUUGUAGCUCUAAAGAGUUGAUGGUCAACCCAGUAAUGCGCUUGUAAUUCUGUAUUCUGGUAUGUUACAAGAUUUUAAUGUUUGAAAUGCAUUCAUCAAGUGAUCUGUUUGUUACCUGAUGCA